UACGUAGGGGGCAAGCGUUGUCCGGAAUCAUUGGGCGUAAAGAGCGUGUAGGCGGCUCGGUAAGUCCGCUGUGAAAGUCCAGGGCUCAACCCUGGAAUGCCGGUGGAAACUGUCGAGCUAGAGUCCGGAAGAGGCGAGUGGAAUUCCUGGUGUAGCGGUGGAAUGCGCAGAUAUCAGGAGGAACACCGGUGGCGAAGGCGGGUCUCUGGGCAGUAACUGACGCUGAGACGCGAAAGCGUGGGGAGCAAACAGG
rnacentral:rRNA from 1 species